rnacentral:rRNA from 1 species
GACGAACGCUGGCGGCGUGCUUAACACAUGCAAGUCGCACGGAAAUGCCCUGCUUUUUUGUGGUGCUCGAGUGGCACACGGGUGAGUAACACGUGAGUAACCUCCUCUUGACUUUGGGAUACCUUCAGAAAACUGGUUCUAAUACCGUAUAGUAGCUCCUGCUCCAUGUUUAGUGAUCGAAAAUUUCGGCGGUUGGGGAUGGACUGGCGGGUGAUCAGCUUGUUGGUGGGGAAGGGGCUUACCAAGGGUUUAACGUGUAGCCGGCCUGAGAGGGUGACCGGGCAAAUGGGGAGUGAGAUACGGCCCAGAGUCGUACGGGAGGCAGGUGUGGGGAAUAUAGCACAAUGGGGCGAAGCCUCAUGCAGCAACGCGGCGUUAGGGAUUAUGACCUUCGGGUUGAAAAGCGUUUUCGCAGGUAACGGAGCGUGAGUGACGGUACUGGAUAAAGAAGCACCGGCUAACUACGUG